CCUACGGGUGGCUGCAGUGGGGAAUAUUGGACAAUGGGCGAAAGCCUGAUCCAGCCAUGCCGCGUGUGUGAAGAAGGCCUUCGGGUUGUAAAGCACUUUCAGUGGGGAAGAAAGCCUUGGGGCUAAUACCCUCGAGGAAGGACAUCACCCACAGAAGAAGCACCGGCUAACUCCGUGCCAGCAGCCGCGGUAAUACGGAGGGUGCGAGCGUUAAUCGGAAUUACUGGGCGUAAAGCGCGCGUAGGCGGUCUGAUAAGCCGGUUGUGAAAGCCCCGGGCUCAACCUGGGAACGGCAUCCGGAACUGUCAGGCUAGAGUGCAGGAGAGGAAGGUAGAAUUCCCGGUGUAGCGGUGAAAUGCGUAGAGAUCGGGAGGAAUACCAGUGGCGAAGGCGGCCUUCUGGACUGUCACUGACGCUGAGGUGCGAAAGCGUGGGUAGCAAACAGGAUUAGAUACCCGUGUAGUC
rnacentral:rRNA from 1 species